rnacentral:rRNA from 1 species
UACGGAGGGUGCAAGCGUUGUCCGGAUUCAUUGGGUUUAAAGGGUGCGCAGGCGGGGAAUUAAGUCAGGGGUGAAAGACGGUUGCUCAACAAUCGCAGUGCCUUUGAUACUGGUUUUCUUGGGUGACCUUGAGGUAGGCGGAAUGGGGGGUGUAGCGGUGAAAUGCAUAGAUACCCCCCAGAACUCCGAUUGCGAAGGCAGCCUACUGGAGGUUAACCGACGCUCAGGCACGAAAGCGUGGGGAUCAAACAGG